CCGCGCCUCUGACGCGCACCGUGUGCGACGGUCCGUGUCGAGAGGGUGGUGUCGGUCCGGGUGACGACAAAGGAAAGGACAAGAUUGGGCGGUGCCCGCGAGUCUAGGCCUAGAGAAGAGGGCGGAAGUGGGCCCCGCGUCUGCCGGGAGAUUCAAAGCGUGAGAGAACUUGAGCUGAAGAGGCAGAACCGGAGAGGCCUGCAGUGUCAAUGACCACCUUUCAAAAAGGGGAAGUCCUUCGAGCCGGAUUCGAACCAGCGACCUAAGGAUGACCGAAGUGUCUAGGUUGGCUCGAUAAAUGAUAUAAUUAUGCAAACACAGACAUUUGGGUUGAAGAGGAUCCCAAAGUUGUGAACAGAGCAAUAUCCAGUGCAUUUUUGUAUCAUUGUGAUUCUCCUUUCUGAAAAUCUAAUGGGAAAUCGUGUGUAUUCCUAGCUCUAAUGAUGAAAUAUGUGGAGUGUGUGUGUGAAUUUUCUUACUUGGAUAAAUAAUUUGGGUGGUUCAUAUUAUAUCGCAUAAUUAUUGUGGAGCAAUUAAAGUGAAACAAA